rnacentral:ncRNA from 4 species
UGAUAUGUUUGAUAUUGGGUUGUU